rnacentral:rRNA from 1 species
UUUACCUGCAGUCGAACGGUAACAGGUCUUCGGAUGCUGACGAGUGGCGAACGGGUGAGUAAUACAUCGGAACGUGCCUAGUAGUGGGGGAUAACUACUCGAAAGAGUAGCUAAUACCGCAUGAGAUCUACGGAUGAAAGCAGGGGACCUUCGGGCCUUGUGCUACUAGAGCGGCUGAUGGCAGAUUAGGUAGUUGGUGGGGUAAAGGCUUACCAAGCCUGCGAUCUGUAGCUGGUCUGAGAGGACGACCAGCCACACUGGGACUGAGACACGGCCCAGACUCCUACGGGAGGCAGCAGUGGGGAAUUUUGGACAAUGGGCGAAAGCCUGAUCCAGCAAUGCCGCGUGCAGGAUGAAGGCCCUCGGGUUGUAAACUGCUUUUGUACGGAACGAAAAGCCUGGGGCUAAUAUCCCCGGGUCAUGACGGUACCGUAAGAAUAAGCACCGGCUAACUACGUGCCAGCAGCGG